CUCUCUCAUCGCUGCGCAGAGCAGUAGGAUGCCGCCAGGAAUGCGAGUACUUCCCAUCUUUGUAGUCUGCCGAAAACAUUUUCUUCUAGGACAAGUAAGACAGGAAAAAAAUACUUAUCCAUCCACUGACCAAGUGGUUAACUAGAAUAUGCUUCACAAAGGGAUAAGUAUCAUCCAGGAGUUUUAUGGAGGGCAAAGCUAUUUGUAAUGAAAGGAUCACGACACUAUCUGGCCCAGCUGCAGAUAAAGUCUAGACAUCUUGAAUUAUGUUAACUUAUGCUGAGAGUCAACAUUUGAGUUUUUCCCUGAAGUUUUGGUGGCUUCAGCUCACGUGACAGUAGAGCCAGUGGAAGAGGGCUAUAACCAGCAGACACUGAAGUGAAUUUCAGGGAGGUAAUUUUCACUCGUGCUGUUUUCUGUGAAGCCCCAGAUCAAAGCCUGCUCUGGGAAGUGGAGUAGGCCAAAGCCACAGUGCCAGCUAAGGUCUUUUCUCAACAUCUUGUUACAAAGUCCACUUUGAACAAUUUUUUCCUCAUCUUUUCAGCCUGUGAGGCACUGGAACACGUUUCCGGAGAAGCUGAGAAUUCUCCAUCCCUGGAAGUGUUCAAAAGCAGGCUGGAUGGAGCUCUGAGCUCUGGUCUACUGGAAGGUGCCCCUGCCCAUGGCAGGGGGGCUGGAACUAGGAGAUCUUUGAGGCCCCUUACAACCCAAACCAUUCUGUGGCUCUGUAUGAAAUACAGAGCAUUAUUUCCCUUUCUGGUGAACAGUGUUGUCUCUUGGAGACUGCCUCUGAAGAAUGCCUCCAUGAAUUUUGGAGCUAUAACUCUGCCCUGCAAUAUUUAAAAAAAGUAAGUACUCUGUUUUUUUAAAUCAGUACCUGAUGCUUCAGAUAAUCUAGGUUCUGCAUAAAAUACUUUUUUUUUUUCACUAAUUAAUAAUGGACUGUGAUAUCUAACUGGCUGUUAGAAAUCCAUUAAUUGAAGUAAAAUUAGUUUUUACACAUUUGUCUUAAAAUUUAGGG